rnacentral:rRNA from 1 species
GAUGAACGCUGGCGGCGUGCCUAAUACAUGCAAGUCGAGCGAACAGACGAGGAGCUUGCUCCUCUGACGUUAGCGGCGGACGGGUGAGUAACACGUGGAUAACCUACCUAUAAGACUGGGAUAACUUCGGGAAACCGGAGCUAAUACCGGAUAAUAUAUUGAACCGCAUGGUUCAAUAGUGAAAGACGGUUUUGCUGUCACUUAUAGAUGGAUCCGCGCCGCAUUAGCUAGUUGGUAAGGUAACGGCUUACCAAGGCAACGAUGCGUAGCCGACCUGAGAGGGGGGUUCGGCCAACCUGAAACUGGGACAGGGCCCGAACCCUUACGGAGGGAGGAGUUGGGGAAUCUUCGGCAUUGGGGGAAGGCUUAAGGAGGAAACGCGGGGGGGGGAAUAAGGGUUUUGGGUCGGAAAACCUCUUUUUUAGGGAAGAAACAAAGGGGAAGGUAACAAUGCCGGUUUGAAGGGUACCAAAUAGGAAGGCACCGCCUACCACGGG